CAAUUACAUAGAAAAAAACGAAACGUCCCUUGAGUGCCACGGAUGUUGAAUACAAUUAUAUUUGAACUUACUCAGCCAAUUGUGCGUGGGGUUGGUCAUUCAGUUGAUCAAAAUUAGUGAACCAACUUCAAAACGCAGGUCUCUUGUGGGUGGCAAUCAAUAUUCGUUUGCUCGAGACCAAAGGAAUAUGCGCGAGACGGAAGUACAUGCACGAGAUGAAUGAAUACUAACCGAAGUCUUGCAGGUGUUUACAUGGAUUUGCGAAUGUGCCAGGUGAUAGAAAUUGCAACGGCAAUUAAACGGCAAAUAAAAGUUGGGUAAAUAAUACUUUCCUGUGGAUGUUCUGAAGGACCAACCUCACAACAGGUAGAAAAACUCAUAUCUUCCCAUCCUGCUCUCAUUUCUUCCUUCUGAUGCUUUGAGGAGGUGUCAAGGAGAACAGACACAAGGAUUCAAAGAAUAUCUUCCAUUUUGAUGAGCCAUUUUUUGGUUGUUGUUGCCAUUGACGCCCAGAGGUCAAUCCCGACAAAGUCAGAGAUCACUGAGCAAUAAAAAAGGCACCACUUCAUACGUUCCCUCUGGCAUACAACAUAAUGUAUGCCGUGAGACACUCUGAAGGCGCCUCCUCUCAAGACCCGGAGGUGUGCUGUGUCACAUGGUCCCUUGCUGAGCGCCCCCCAACCUCCGUCUCUACCGCACUACUGUGUUAGCUUACUGUAGAGCAUAGAGCUGUACAUGUUAUUUGAAUAAAAGUUAGGUUUGACUAAAGUUUGUCUAUCGUGUGUUAUAUUUUUGAAUGCGUUACCCUGGAUUAUACAGUUUGAUGACGAACACC
ensembl:lncRNA